CCUGGACCCUGGCGUCUCUGUCUCUCUCGUCCCUCCUGAGGGUCAGGGAAACCUGGAAGGGGCUAAAGCUCAGCAGAGUAUAAUUAGAGCCCAUAGUGGAAAGGGAAGGGCGUAGAAGUGUGAGGGCCCAGACCAGCGUGGAGUGCUCCUGACCAGGGAAUGCAGACAGCAUGAGUUUAACCUCUUGUGCUUUCACUCUGCCCAUCUCAGAAGAUGCAAAACUUAUCCUGCUGGCUGCAGAGAAGCUGCAAUUGCACACAGGAGAACUCGUCUUCAUCAUUUUGCAGCAUCCGGAGGUGCGUGCCAAUGACCCCUCAGUGGCUCCUACGGUUUUGGAAGGAGGUAUUGACAAAUCAGAAGGGAGAUGCAGUUGCCCGCAAUCUAUGCGUCAGUCCUUGUCAUAGCCCCCAGGUC
rnacentral:lncRNA from 9 species